AAAUUGGCUUUUUUGAAAGCUACAAACAAAUAAAUUCACGGAUAC
rfam:Leuconostoc mesenteroides subsp. mesenteroides ATCC 8293, complete genome.